AAGCGUGGACGCCAGUCUGCGUGGAGCCGACCUUGAAAUACCACCCUUUAAUGUUUGAUGUUCUAACGUGGACCCGUAAUCCGGGUUGCGGACAGUGUCUGGUGGGUAGUUUGACUGGGGCGGUCUCCUCCUAAAGAGUAACGGAGGAGCACGAAGGUUGGCUAAUCCUGGUCGGACAUCAGGAGGUUAGUGCAAUGGCAUAAGCCAGCUUGACUGCGAGCGUGACGGCGCGAGCAGGUGCGAAAGCAGGUCAUAGUGAUCCGGUGGUUCUGAAUGGAAGGGCCAUCGCUCAACGGAUAAAAGGUACUCCGGGGAUAACAGGCUGAUACCGCCCAAGAGUUCAUAUCGACGGCGGUGUUUGGCACCUCGAUGUCGGCUCAUCACAUCCUGGGGCUGAAGUAGGUCCCAAGGGUAUGGCUGUUCGCCAUUUAAAGUGGUACGCGAGCUGGGUUUAGAACGUCGUGAGACAGUUCGGUCCCUAUCUGCCGUGGGCGCUGGAAGACUGAGGGGGGCUGCUCCUAGUACGAGAGGACCGGAGUGGACGCAUCACUGGUGUUCGGGUUGUCAUGCCAAUGGCACUGCCCGGUAGCUAAAUGCGGAAAAGAUAAGUGCUGAAAGCAUCUAAGCACGAAACUUGCCCCGAGAUGAGUCUUCCCUGAGACUUUGAGUCUCCUGAAGGAACGUUAAAGACGAUGACGUUGAUAGGCCGGGUGUGUAAGCGCAGCGAUGCGUUGAGCUAACCGGUACUAAUGAACCGUGAGGCUUAACCUU
rnacentral:rRNA from 1 species